GACGAACGCUGGCGGCGUGCUUAACACAUGCAAGUCGAACGGACAGGCCCUGCUCUUGUGGGGUGCUCGAGUGGCGAACGGGUGAGUAACACGUGAGUAACCUGCCCUUGACUUUGUGAUAACUUCAGGAAACUGGGGCUCAUACCGGAUAGGAGCUCCUGCUGCAUGGUGGGGGUUGGAAAGUUUCGGCGGUUGGGGAUGGACUCGCUGGUUAUCAGCUUGUUGGUGUGGUAGUGGCUGACCAAGGCUUUGACGGGUAGCCGGCCUGAGAGGGUGACCGGCCACAUUGGGACUGAGAGACGGCCCAGACUGCUACGGGAGGCAGCAGUGGGGAAUAUUGCAGAAUGGGCGGAAGCCUGAUGCAGCAACGCCGGGUGCGGGAUGAUGGGCUUCGGGUUGUAAACCGCUUUCGCCGGUGACGAAGAGUGAGUGACGGUAAUGGGUAAAGAAGCAACGGCUAACUACGUG
rnacentral:rRNA from 1 species